rnacentral:ncRNA from 2 species
CGAGGUCUUCAGGGCGGGGUGGAAUUCCCCACCGGCGGUAGGCGGCGAAAGCCGCGAGCCCGCGAGCGCCCCGCGGUCCGCCCGGGCCACGGGGGUCAGCAGACUCAGUCAAAUGCUGAGGCCGACGGUCACAGUCCGGAUGAAAGAAGAUUCGC